GACGAACGCUGGCGGCGUGCCUAAUACAUGCAAGUAGAACGCUGAAGGAGGAGCUUGCUUCUCUGGAUGAGUUGCGAACGGGUGAGUAACGCGUAGGUAACCUGCCUGGUAGCGGGGGAUAACUAUUGGAAACGAUAGCUAAUACCGCAUAAUAGCAGUUGUUGCAUGACAACUGUUUGAAAGGUGCAAUUGCACCACUACCAGAUGGACCUGCGUUGUAUUAGCUAGUUGGUGGGGUAACGGCUCACCAAGGCUACGAUACAUAGCCGACCUGAGAGGGUGAUCGGCCACACUGGGACUGAGACACGGCCCAGACUCCUACGGGAGGAAGCAGUAGGGAAUCUUCGGCAAUGGACGGAAGUCUGACCGAGCAACGCCGCGUGAGUGAAGAAGGUUUUCGGAUCGUAAAGCUCUGUUGUAAGAGAAGAAAGAGUGUGAGAGUGGAAAGUCCACACUGUGACGGUAUCUUACCAGAAAGGGACGGCUAACUACGUG
rnacentral:rRNA from 1 species